rnacentral:misc_RNA from 1 species
GAAGCAGCCACCAGACGCCGAUUCUGCGGAGAAGUGAUUCUCUCGAGAACGGAUUUGCAUUCAUAAGCAAGUUUAGAGUGUUUCCGCCACGAAGCGUUCUUGAUGAUCUUCUCUAAGGCUGGGGCUACGACUUGGCUUAAGCUGGCUUAAGCGGGAAUCGGCUUCCGAAGAAGCCAUUCCCGAGUCAGGACGAGCUCGUGACUG